UACCAGCACCCCGAGUGGUCGGGACGUUUUAUUGGGCCUAAAGCAUCCGUAGCCGGUUCUACAAGUCUUCCGUUAAAUCCAGCUGCUUAACAGAUGGGCUGCGGAAGAUACUAUGGAGCUAGGAGGCGGGAGAGGCAAGCGGUACUCGAUGGGUAGGGGUAAAAUCCGUUGAUCCAUUGAAGACCACCAGUGGCGAAGGCGGCGUUGCCAGAACGCGCUCGACGGUGAGGGAUGAAAGCUGGGGGGAGCAAACCGG
rnacentral:rRNA from 1 species